UUGGAGGGCAAGUCUGGUGCCAGCAGCCGCGGUAAUUCCAGCUCCAAUAGCGUAUAUUAAAGUUGUUGUGGUUAAAAAAGCUCGUAGUUGAAUUUCGGGGUUCUACCGUUGGUCGGGCAAUAGUCUGUACUGGCGUGUGGAAUUUCUACCUUCUGGGGAACCAUCAUGUUAUUUAUUUAGCGUGGUGGGAAACCAGGACCUUUACCUUGAAAAAAUUAGAGUGUUCAAAGCAGGCUUACGUCUGAAUACAUUAGCAUGGAGUAAUAAAAUAGGACGGUGGUCCUGUUUUGUUUGG
rnacentral:rRNA from 1 species